rnacentral:rRNA from 1 species
AUGGCUGGGCAUCAUUAUCACAAUUCCCAGAUGUCAAGAAUGGAUCGUACGAACCAGCCACGUAAUGAACCUCCGCCUUUUGGUCAAAAGUUAUUUGUGCAUCCUAGAGGUGAUGCACCUAAUGGAGCGGGACCAUCAGGUUAUGGGGUUACAACUGUGAGAUCUAAUGAACUUCCAUCCUCAAGCUACACUGGUCAGUCUUAUGGUCAGCAGAUUGGAGCCCCUGGAACCUUGCAUGCCUCCCAUGCUGGUUAUCCUCCUGCUGGAAGCUCUAGUAGCAGCUAUGCACCAUACAAUACUCAACAUGUGCCUUCUUUAAGCUAUCCACGUAGAUCCGAGGAUAGUUUUAUUCCUGGAGUCCAUGUGGAUGACAGAAGGGUUGCACCGAAGCGGAGAAAUCCCAUCACUCAUCCUGUGGAUGGUAUAAGUGCUGGAGGCUAUUAUCCUGGCAGUUCUUCCAAUAAUCAGAUCUCUGGUUACAUGCCCCUGAAUCCUGUUCCUACUCGUGAAACCUGCCCUCCACAAAUAAGUUCAAACAUGGGUUCCAGCCACUGGAACGAUCAUCAGUUUCUUAAUCAUGAAGGAUCUCAGAGGAAUGUGAGGGGACGCCAUGAUCAUAGUUCUAUCCAUUCGGAAUAUAAUUCGUCUACAGCUUGCCCAUCAAGCAGUGUUCAUGUGCCACCAUACCAUCCAAAUGCAAAUGCUCCUUUUGGUGCACCAGUACAGCGGGAAAGAGCUCCUUUAUCUCUACCUCCCAGAAUUGUUCCUCCAGGGACAGAUGGAAGCACUGGCAUAGCAUUCAGAGAGAGGCCAUUCUAUCCUGCUCCACAGAGCACCAACAUAAGUGCUCCUGUGCCACCACUUCCUGGUUCUUCUGACGGUGCACCAUUUGCUCGCAUUGGAUACACUCCUAGACCAGUUCAUCAUAACGCUGGCCACAAUUAUCCACCGCCAGCUUUUACAACUUCUUCCAACUCUGGAGCAGUUCGGUGUGAGCCUGCUAACCCUCGCUAUCAACCUGCCAUGCCCAGCUAUCCUCCUGCUACCGCUGCAGCAUCAUCAAGUGUCCAGCCAUUACAUGCCGAAGCUGCUGCAUCUUUUAGACAGCCAAGGCACGUCUCUGUGGGGCAUGGUGGUAGUGCAAGGAGUAGAAGGAUGAGGGAUUCCUAUCAUUGCUUUCAUCCUUUGAUGAUCGAGGAGAAUAACCUAGGAAGAUCGGCAGCUGAGCGUUUUAUGAUGCUGGACCAGUUGGUCAUCCACGAAUCUAGAGAAGCAUUAGAUCCUCACUGGGACAUGAGACUGGACAUUGAUGACAUGAGCUAUGAGGAGCUCCUGGCGUUGGAAGAACGAAUUGGCAAUGUAAACACUGGCCUGGCUGACGAAAAAAUCUCAGGCUGCGUGAUGGAGCUAGCCUGUCGUAAUUCUGCCCGUACACAGAAUGAUCAAGACAAGGAAAGGUGCAUAAUUUGCCUGGAGGAAUACAAGCACAAGGACUCCCUUGGGAAGCUGAAAUGUGGGCAUGACUUCCAUGCGGGCUGCAUCAAGAAGUGGCUGGAGGUGAAGAACGCCUGCCCGGUUUGUAAAGCCGACGCCGCAAAUGAAACCACCUGA